UGUUAGUGCAUUUAUAAUAUCAAUUAAUGUUUGAGUGAAAUUGCAAAAUCUGUAAUUUUCUUCGUCUAACACGAAAAUGUGAAAAGAUAGUAGCUAUUCACGAGAAUGGUAUGAUUGGCUGAAGAAAAGCUUGGCUACUCUUGUGGUAUCCAUCUUAUAUUAUUUGCUUAUGUUUCAUUCUAUUUUUCUAUGACUAUGAAUAAGGGAUUUUUCAUUCUAGCUGAUUUAAAACAAUUGGGACCAUUUAUAAUAUGAGGAUCAUGUUUUUGACAGUGAAUGACAAAUACUGUAAUAUUUUAGUGCUUCACUUCAUACAAGGUAUCUCACAGUUUUUAUUUCUUUUGAACUUAAUAAUAUAUUUUUUCCAUUCUUUGUAAUCUGUCUUUCGCUAUAGUGGGUACUCUGGACCUCUUUCAAUUGAACAUUGGAACAUUCACAAAUAACUGAAAGACAUACCUCUUUUGUGCAUACCAUUCAAAUGUUACCUUAUUUGAAUUAUUUCGAUGUUGUUGACUUGCUACUUUUCAUCCAUCCAGCUAUUUAAUGAGCUAUGCUAGUCCACAUCACAUAAUAAUUCCAAAACACAUAUUAUGGGCAUACUAAGCAGUAAGCACAAUCCUUUUUUAUAAGAAAUGUCAUAGUCAGUAGAUAUAAAGAUCUGUUAUAUGUAUCAUGUACCUUUCUACUGAUUAGCUGAUUGCUUGCAACCCAUCUCAUGAGUUGUCACCUCGUGAUUUACCAUCAACGAACAAAAUUUAAAUUUAAAUCUGGUAUUGAGGACAAAAAAGUUUUGCAUUUGUUUCUUGAACAUUAUCCACCUUGACAGUUACUUUGGUAGCUCUAGAGUUAGUGGUGCUAUACCUUCAACGUUUGCUGUUCUACGAAAUCUGCAGACAGUGUAAGAGCUUUCUGAACUAUCCUUUUUGCAUAUCUGAGAAACUAAAAUAUUGUGUUCAGAUUAAUUAUUUUUGUUAUCAAUUUUACUGAGGAAGAAUUUUGGGGAUCUCAGGUGGGCUUCAGACAAUGAACUCACUAGUAGCAUACCUGAAUUCAUUGGGAAUUGGUCAAAGCUUAAAAGCUUGAGAUUUCAGGGAAACUCCUUUGGAGGUCCAAUAGCAACAACAUUUUCCAACUUAACCUUGAUGGAGGACUUGAGAAUAAGUGAUUUAUCUAAUGGACAUUCUUCAUUGGCGUUUCUUAAGGAUAUGAAGUCUUUGAAUCUCUUAAUUCUGAGGAAUAACAAUAUUUCUGGAUCUAUCUCAUCCAAUAUUGGAGAUUAUCAAAGAUUGUUACAACUGUAAGUUAUUGCUAUAAAUUUCAGGUCAGCUCCCAUAUACUUCAACCUGAAAUUUUGCCAGUUUAGAGCCAGAUGGGGGAAGAUGGAGUCAAAACCAGACAGCCAACUCUAUGAAGCAAAUACUUUUACUGUAUUUACGUUAUUAUAUAAUGAAUUUAAUUGACCAUGGUUUGUAUAAUUUUUCAGGGAUUUUAGCUUCAACAAAUUAACUGAACAGAUUCUUGAUUCGCUGUUCAAUUUGAGCUCUCUUGUAAUAAACAUCUUGUGUUGUAUUAUUUUAGAAUCUUUCCAACAAAUACUGUUUAUUGCUUGAACUAA